AGAGUUUGAUCCUGGCUUAGGACGGACGCUGGCGGCGUGCCUAACACAUGCAAGUCGAACGGACGAGGGGAGCUUGCUCCCCGAGUUAGUGGCGGACGGGUGAGUAACACGUGAGCAACCUGCCCUUCGGAGGGGGACAACAGUUGGAAACGACUGCUAAUACCGCAUGACGUAUUUUGGAGGCAUCUCCGGGAUACCAAAGAUUUAUCGCCGAAGGAUGGGCUCGCGUCUGAUUAGAUAGUUGGUGAGGUAACGGCCCACCAAGUCGACGAUCAGUAGCCGGACUGAGAGGUUGAACGGCCACAUUGGGACUGAGAUACGGCCCAGACUCCUACGGGAGGCAGCAGUGGGGAAUAUUGGGCAAUGGGGGGCAACCCUGACCCAGCAACGCCGCGUGAAGGAAGAAGGCUUUCGGGUUGUAAACUUCUUUGACGAGGGACGAUCGUGACGGUACCUCGAAAACAAGCCACGGCUAACUACGUGCCAGCCGCAGC
rnacentral:rRNA from 1 species